UACGUAGGGUGCGAGCGUUGUCCGGAAUUAUUGGGCGUAAAGAGCUCGUAGGCGGUUUGUCACGUCGGAUGUGAAACCCCGGGGCUUAACUCCGGGCCUGCAUUCGAUACUGGCUGACUAGAGUUCGGCAGGGGAGACUGGAAUUCCUGGUGUAGCGGUGAAAUGCGCAGAUAUCAGGAGGAACACCGGUGGCGAAGGCGGGUCUCUGGGCCGAUACUGACGCUGAGGAGCGAAAGCGUGGGGAGCGAACAGG
rnacentral:rRNA from 1 species